ACCUUGACGUUUAUCGGCGGCGCGGGUGGAGGAGGAUCCACUUUAACGUUGAUAAAUUUUAGAACGUCGUUGUAGUCAAGUUGUUCCUCUUCGUUCUUACGAAUGCUAUAUUAUUAUUGCAACAUCUCCGCUUAUAUACGUACUGAUCAAGCAUAGAAUUUAAAAGUUCCACGUCGACUGGAAUUCUGGCAGCACGGAGCGUAGUAUACAACGUAUCGCGUGGUGGCUGCGGUAUCAUGCUGAAACAGUUGCCGAGGGAAUCUUCGUAGGACCCAAAACCAUUGUAGGGUGGAAUGUAUUUUUCCACUUUCACGCAAAUCUCGCCAACAUUUCGAGGUCUUUCCAUGGGCGUGAAGUCAUCCAGACCGUAUUUCUUCCUUUGAUGCGAUACAAGGAACAUUUUUUUACGUGACACAUUCUUUUCUACGCUUUUUACUAUCGAAGAGGAUGCACCGUUGAACCUUGCUCAAGACCACUAUUGUCCACGGAAGGCUCAGAAAUUUUCAUCGUUCCAUCUUCCAAAAAGAAGCUGAUAUUUACUACGCGUAUUUGUUUUCUAGAUAAAUGAUCGUACUUGGCCAUCAUAGGCAAUCCAAGGAGGCAGUUCUUGAACUUCCCCGCGAGCAUAAAUCGACGGAUAACGAAUCGGAUCGCCUUUAUCAAACUUUUCCGAUAAAUAAUAAACUCCAUCGUGAAUUUUAGUAAAGUGUUGAUUCCUGGCAAAGUUUGUUCGAUCAAGCUAAACAAGAACAUACAUCAAGCGCUUUUUGUAUUAUAUUGUAAUGUAUUACGCGCGUAUGUUCUAUGCUCAUCAAUAAUAUAAAUAUUAUUUCAUGAAAUUCUAUGUCUUAGCCAAUGCAUAUAUUGGUUAAUUAAAUACAAAGUGUCAUGAGACCAUAAAAGAAAAAUGACUUACGUUUUUAUCGAAACUAAACCCUGGUAGACAUGGAAGUACGAGAUCACGCUGCAUUUUACCGCCGACGGAAAUUGGAUUAAUAAAUAUGAUACAUCUGAAGAGUUAGUAGCCGAUUUACGGGGAAACACUUUACGUAUCUGAUAUCGACGUAAGAAUACCCGUUACUGUUAUUUGAUAUUAUUGUGUUUCCUUGGAGAUACUUCGGUUGAUUUCAUCAGGAGAAAAGAAGAACUUCGAGCUACUUGCAGCUUUAAUAUAUAUAUAUAUAUAUAUAUAUUUAUAUUUUAUUAUCAUCAACAAUUUGCAAUAUUACACUGGUAACAUUUUAUACCAGUAUAUGCAGAAACAUAAAUUUAUAUAAUAUAUAGCAAUAUACAAUAUAGCAAAAACUCUGGUAUAAAUAUAAUAACACGUAUAUAUUAUAUAUUAGUUUGAUUCGUAAUAACCUAUGUUAAUGAUGAGUUUUGAACGAUACUGCUGUCUAUAAUUUGUUAUUACUUUUCUUACUUAAGAGCAUGAUGUACGGAUCAUGAUACUAUUUAAUUGGCAACUCGUUAUUCAAAUGAUAUAAAUGCAUCAAUGGUAAAUAAAUCACAAGUAUGUAGUAAAUGAGGUAAUAGAUUUAAUAAGAAGUUAAGCGUAAUAAAAGCAAGAUCGAACAUCCAUUGAUCAAACAUAAUUUAAAACACAUUUAAAGGCAUUAUUAAUAAACCUCUGUGCAAAAAGAUUAAGUCAUGUUUAAUGAAUAACAGAUGUUAUAUUAUGUGUAUAGUCGUAAUAUGCAUAAAGUUACUAUUACACGUAUACUAUGCAGAUGCUAGCAACAAUAAAUUGUUUUACUGGCA